rnacentral:rRNA from 1 species
GACAGAGGUGCCGAGCGUUAGGCGGAAUCACUGGGCUUAAAGCGUGUGUAGGCGGCCCUGUAAGUCCGUUGUGAAAGUCAAAGGCUCAACCUUUGAAAGCCGAUGGAUACUGCAGGGCUAGAGUCCGGAAGAGGCGAGUGGAAUUCCUGGUGUAGCGGUGGAAUGCGCAGAUAUCAGGAGGAACACCAAUAGCGAAGGCAGCUCGCUGGGACGGUACUGACGCUAAGGCGCGAAAGCGUGGGGAGCGAACAGG